rnacentral:rRNA from 1 species
GUGCCAGCAGCCGNGUANUACGGAGGGUGCAAGCGUUAAUCGGAAUUACUGGGCGUAAAGCGCACGCAGGCGGUCUGUCAAGUCGGAUGUGAAAUCCCNGGGCUCANCCUGGGAACUGCAUUCGAAACUGGCAGGCUUGAGUCUUGUAGAGGGGGGUAGAAUUCCAGGUGUAGCGGUGAAAUGCGUAGAGAUCUGGAGGAAUACCGGUGGCGAAGGCGGCCCCCUGGACAAAGACUGACGCUCAGGUGCGAAAGCGUGGGGAGCAAACAGGAUUAGAUACCCUGGUAGUCC